UACGGAGGUAUUCGAAUACCCUUAAUUACAUAUAUAUGACUAUUAAGGAUAGAUAAUUAUGGAAAACUCACAAUAGGCGGCCAGAUUAUUGGUUUUUAACAAAACGAUAAUGACAGGUUGGUAGUUUAACUGGGACGGUUUCCUCCAAUAGAGUAUCGGAGGACUUUAAUAGGUAUGUUAGCAGUUCUGUUGGAGACAAAAUCUUUAUGUAUAUAUGAUAAACUACGCAAAGGUCUCAGCAUGCCAGACUGUGAGAUAGAUAUAUCGAACAGGUACGUAAGUAGGACUUAGUGAACCGAUGCUUCUUUAUGGAAAGAAUAUCGAUCAAGA
rnacentral:rRNA from 1 species